ensembl:lncRNA
AUUGGUGACAGGGUGACAAUGGUGACAGACCCCUAAUGCUUGUGCAGACCCAAUGGUGUCCCGAUGAAGGGCCGCAGUGUGUUGUGGGGUCAGAAAAGAGCGGGCUUAGGUGGACGGAUGCCAAGGGCAGUCGCCAGCUCUCCAGGCAGGACCAGGUGAAGGAUGUCCUUCUGCAGCACAAACAGGGUGAAGAAGACAAGCUGCAGCAGGCCCAAGAACAGCAGAAACGCCCUGCGGAACAGAAGAAGGUCGAGUCAGAUCUGGGGGCACGUUUGUCACAGCACUUUCCAUCCAGCCCUGGCAAAUGGCCGUGGACAUGUGCCAUACAGGGAGCAAGGGAAUCUGUCGUAGGUCUGCGCAGGGCUGCCAAGAUCGCCACCCCACCUGCUCUCCCACCCAGGACCCUAAGCAAUAGUGAGGCAUUUUAUCUCCAAAAAGUCAAAAGCUGCCCGAUGGUCUCUGGACCCCAGGGCGACUCACCGCAGCCAGGUAGUUACAAGUGGGUGCUUCUGUGCUGCCGUCUGCUCAUCCUAGAGGACAAAGCAAAGUAGGGCUACGCGUUGGGGUGAGCGCAGGUUUGGGCACUCGGAAGCCCUCGUCGUCCCCACAACCAGAGGGAGGCCCAUAUCCCCUGCAGUGGCCCGGAGGUGAGCCUUCCCUCCCCAAGGCCCCGGUGGGGCUUUCUCUCUUACCAAUCGCACUGCCACUGCCUCCUGCAUCAGGGAACUCAUGUGCUCUUCCCUGCGUGUCAUCUUCCUCCUGCUACAG